AGCCUGACCCAGCGACGCCGCGUGAGGGAUGAAGGUCUUCGGAUUGUAAACCUCUUUCAGUAGGGAAGAAGCGAAAGUGACGGUACCUAAAGAAGAAGCACCGGCUAACUAUGUGCCAGCAGCCGCGGUAAUA
rnacentral:rRNA from 1 species